AUGCCCGCUCCACUUCUUCUUCUUCGUUGACAAAUACAUCAGCGCUAAAAACGGAGAAAACCGCUCAGACCGUAAAAGAAGCUCCGACAGAGAACAGCCACGUCACGAAGCUGCUCCGUUAUUCGUCUCAUGUCGUCGAUAUUUGUGUCUUGGUGGGUUAAUCUGCGACAGACACACGAGCUGAGCACAAAUCGAGACAAUCGGAACCAGGGAACUUGAAAUGGAAUGACACAUUUCUCUCCGAGUGGACUUUUUCUUGAACCUCGUCUUGUGAUCUUCGCAUCAGCUGCUUGUUCGGGCUCAUUUUUAUCCCCUCUGAUGUCCACCUGUUACCGGCUGGCUCCUACCUGCAGACAGCCUCAACCACGGAUCGUCACAUAAACCCAACUUCUACUGAGAUGGCCCGUGCAGAGACCAUCGAGAGCGCCGGGGAGACCGGAGGAGGAGGAAACGGCCCCCUUCCUCGCCACAACACCUGCCGCAUGGAGCUGCCUCGGCCCUUCCACAACUGGCCGGGCCUGCUCACCACCACCAUCACCACCGGCUCUGGGACUGGCACCGGUCCUAUGAACCUCCAGCAUAAUCACCACCAUCUGCACCAUUUGCCGGGCAUCUAUCUGUCGUACCCGCUGCCUUACCCCCACCCAGAGGGCCAGGAUGAGCCCCAGUCUCACCAGCAGUUACCUGCGUUAUCGCCAUCACCGACGCCUCCGUCUUCGCCACCCUGCAAUCAGAGGGAAGACAGAGGUGGAGGCUACUCAGGAGAGCACACAGACUCUGACAGAGAGGAGCUCCAGGACGCCUGCAGCCGACAGGGUCCUCUGCCUGACCUGCUGCCCCAGAAUGAGCACCCAUCCUGGGCUUCACCACCUCACAGAGCCCCCAGGGAAGAGGUGGUGCAGGAGCUGGAGGUCAGGAGAGUGGCCAACCAGCUGAGGGCCAUCGGAGACGACUUCAACGCCACAGUCCUCCACAGAGUGCACGGUGCCCCCCACUGGCAGGACUGGAGAGACGCCUGCCGAGGACUCCUGAACUUCAUCACCCAGACCCUCAGCACUCUGUACCGGCUCACGUAGAGCGCCGUCGCACCUGGUUACCACGGCGACUUUUUUUACAUCCAGGACUCGGCCACUGAGCGAACAGAAAGCACAGCGACUGGUUGAUGCACUGACGGAUUAGUGUGGCCUGAAAUCAAACGAUUGCUUGAACAAAGAGUUUAUGAGACCAGCAGCUGGAGUCGGUGGCGCCACCUGUGGGCUGGAUCAGGGUGGUGUUACCUGUGGAAACCGGGACCUGCCUGUCUGUCUGCCUGACGGUCUGUCUGUCUGUCUGUCAGUCUGCUGGUACAGACUGCAGCUGAUGGGCUGACGGUCACUUUGCUACCUGUAUAUUUUGUAAAAUCCACUUUCUUUCUCUGUCUUUGUCAACAUCUCGGGGGCUCGAUGUGGCAGAGGUGUGUCUGUGUGCACAUGGCAGAUCGGGGUCAAACCGACAUUGCAAAAACAUUUUUGUUAACUGUUUUGUAAUCAUUUUACUUUAAAAUGUGUCUUUUCUCAAAAUAGAUGACAUCUCAUCAGAUUUUCCUACGUUUCUGACACUCUGAGUUGGUUACGGCCCAGACACACCAAACAGACUGUUGUGUCGCCUCACAUCACCUGUGUCUCGCCCAGAAAGCUGCACUUGAACACACCGUAAAAGAUUACAGCCGACAGCUAACUAGCUUGUGCGUUGCGCGCCUGCGUGAAAGGAAACAACUGGCAUUACCACGAGGUGGCAGUAGUCUGUAAUCGUCUUUAAAAAGGGGAAACAGGAAAGACUCAGGACUGAAGAUUUACAAACUGUUGUUAUGCUCAAGCUGCGUUUUCUGUCCAAGAGACAAAAUAAAGGUAGGAACUGUGCUAAAUGGGUGAUAUAGUGGAUUAUACAGCAACAGGCUAAAGGGAAUUUAGGCACUGAUUCGCUUAGCUGAGCGGCCAAUCAGGGAGACUUCUCUCACUCACAGCUCCGCCAGCGAUAACAAGUACAGUCGACCAAAAACAAGGGCUCAGACCUCAGUUUAGGCCGACCAUCGUCCUGGUGUGUCAGGGCCUUUAAAACCAAUUCAGAGAAUCCUAACAGACACGAUUUGACCCUCGUCUGAUGUGUGCGUCUUACUGUCGUCUCUUUAUUUUGCUUCCUGCGCCCCCCCCAUUCUUGAUUAUAAACUGUGAAACUGGACGUUGUGUUUGCAUGGCAGGGAAAAGUCGGGUGUUAUUCCACUAGAGUGAACCUCUCUCCCAAUCUGCUUCAGUUCAUCAGACGAUAUAUAUAUGUGCCUUUCUGCUCGGCGCUCCGCUGAGGCCUAAUCUUUGACAUCAGGACAAUCAGCUACACACACAUUCAGAGAUACACACCCACGCUCUUUAAGUGCUUUGUUUGCAGCCUCUAAACUAAAGUAUCAUUUGCAUCACAGUCAAAUGGUUCAGCUUCAGCCGUGGUUUAAGGUCAUUUAAGGACACAAACAGCUUAAUUCCCCGACGAGCACACACACAUUCUGCCACUGUACAUUCCUCCAUACAGAAGUGUUGGGAGCUGGAGGGUCUCGCCCGCCUGCGUCGACAGUGUUUAUAGUUACUUGAUCGAUUGUAAAUAUAUUUCCUGAGAUGAAUUUAACUAAUAUGAAACCGUUUGAUGGACUUUAAAGAAGUACUCAUCAAAGCGAGGAAGGUUCACUGUGUUUGGGAGAUCGUUUGUGUAUUUCUGAGCGGAGUUUGAAUUUAAAUCCAGUGGAUUUGAGUUAAAGAAAAAAAAUAUAUGAUUUGGAUCUUUUGAUUGAAAAGUAUUUGACCAUGUUUGUAAAAAAAAAAAAAAAAAGAAAGAAGAAAAAGAAAAAAACCCCUUUGGUUGUGCGAUUAUUAUUUUCUUUGUAGUUUGGGAGAAACUGUUAAUUUGUCAUAUUAAGAGUAUAAUUUAUUUUGAAAUGUAGCCUGUCUGUAGCUUGUUCUUUGGUUUCAGUUUUUUUUUAUGUAAUAUAUUAUUUAUUUUUUUCACAUUCCUGAUCAAAUCUAUGAAUUAAGUUGUUCUUGAGUUGUAACUGUUAAAACAGAGAUGAGCUGUCAGUAUACACACUGAAGGACGAUACAUCACUUCAUUCCAGAUGUUAUCAGCUUUAGGAGCCUUAAAAUCUUGAUGGAUCAUUUGAAACGGUACAAUACUUGUUUAAUUAUAAUCAUCAACACACAUGGCAUUACGUGACUUAGACUUAGACUUAAUUGUGGAUUACAGAAUAUCCAAACAUCUCCAGAAACUCAAAGUGGUCUAUUAGCUUUCAGUGUGUAUAUAAGAUGAAAUGAAAAGUACCAAAAUUCUCCCUUUAUACCCUUUAAAAGCACAAAAAAAAAGAUGAAAUCACGCAUCUCAAACUGUUAGCAAUACUCAAAGUGUUUGUUUAACAGCUCAAACUGACUGAACUGAAAAUCAGCUGGGUGUUUCUGAUCUAACUCCCAAACUGCGUUAGUGGUGCCGCACAUGCUGAAAAUCUUUCAACUUAAAUAUCAGGAAGCAUUGACUGAAACAUGGCCCCUUAUUGAUCUGUCUCCCAUUAAAAUGACUCAAAGGUUCAGGAGGGAAGUGAUUGGCUGUGGCGGUUUUGUUUGAACCGCUCUCAGUUGGCCUUAGCUUCACUGUUUUCUAUGUUUCUUAGUGUAGGACCUCGUUUUCAACAUUUUGAAGCCUUGAUGUAUAAAAGUCACGCUGAUACCAGAGCCUGCAGAUGUUCAGCCGACAUGAUGCUAAGCAGAGCGCAAACCACGCUAGCACUCGUUUACUGCUUGUACAUUACUAUAUUUAGAUCAGUUUGCUGGCAGCGCUCUCAGCCAUGUUUGCUGUCAUCACAUAGGAUUGCAAACAGGUUUAAGUACGUCAGUCGCUCAGCCUGCAGGUGAUCGCCUCGAGGCGCGUGCACUCGCUCACUUCCUGGUUGUUUUUCCUUGUGAGAGUGCACUUCCUGGUUCAGGGCUCACCUCCCUCCUCGCCCAGUGUCCUCACAUGCAGUGUGUAUUUGCUGUUUUUCAACUUUUUUCUAUUGUUAACUUUCUACAUGAAUUUUUGUACUUUUUUUUCUUUUUUAUACAAUAAAGAUAAGGAGAACUAUAAUCACUUCGUCUGGUGUUUCAUGUCCAACAGGAGAUACUGUGUGUACUGUAUGAGUGUAAAUCUAAAUAAAUAACAUUAUAACAAGAACAAAUAUCUUAUUUUAGUUUAAUCAGUACUUUGUUGCCUGUUUACAAGUCACUGGUAGAUGAAUUGGACGGUUUGUAUUUUGCUCAGGUAUUUUACUUUACGGCUGAGAGAUUCACACGGACAGUGAUGUGCACAAAGGUGGCCCAAUUGUUGAAAAACGUGCGCUAAAGUGCCCUCCUGGGAACCAAAACGUGUGCUAAAGUGCCCUCCUGGGAACCAAAACGUGUGCUAAAGUGCCCUCUUGGUUGGCAAAACACACUAAAUGUCCCCCUUGGCUGGUUAGAACAUGAUAAACUGCCCUCUUGGGAGCUAAAACACGUGCUAAA
ensembl:lncRNA